AUGUUGACGCAGUACAUAGACUAACAUUGGAACGAUACAAUGAAGCAGGGCCGUUGCACAAGGAGGACAAGCAAACUCCUGAAGCGUUCCAUAUAUUU
rnacentral:snRNA from 1 species